UGCAUCGAGUUAUUACGAAUCAAGAAAUGAUGAUGGAUCAUCUCAAAUUUAUUCUAAUGACUAUGCAGAAAACAGGCGAACCUGCUCGUGGGCAGGAUCCCUUUGAGAGAGAAAUGCUGCCACUACAAGACACUACCUCCCUGCUUGCCCUGGAGAAACGAUUGCGAGAAGAGGAUGACCUCAAGAACAAAAUGAUUAUGGCGUUGAGCGUCAUUGGAGGACUUGACAUCAAGGAUACCGUGUGGCGAGUUAUGAAGCACUGUUUUACAAACUCCCUUGCCAAACAACUCAACUGGCGUGGUAUUAAUGGCAAAACAGCUUUUCAGAGAUUGGAGCUAAAAAAUGUAAUUACUGCCACUGUCAGAAAGAACAGAAAGAACUUACGGCGAUAGCCACUGAUCAAGAGGUAGAGAUAUUUAUAAAAAAAUGGCUUCACCUUGCAAGUGACCGAGAUGGAAGGAGAAGAGAAAGAGAGAAACGAAAGAGUAUCCCAGAUACCCACCCGCAAGACUGCCGUGACUCUGCUGGGCCCAGCUAAGGAGACCAUUAAAGCCUGUGUUUGGAGGAUUCCUGUUCCCAAGUUUCUGUUGUGCUGAAUUGAAUUUUUCAUUUCUGACUUUUUUUUUUGAAAGAACUUGUUUCCAGCUGUCACUGUCAGAAACUUAUUUAUAACUUAUUUUUUUAAUUUAUUUUUUACACACCAGGUGUGUUUCUUUUUUUGCAUGUUUAAAUUGCUUUCAAGUUUUUGAUAUGGUAUGUACCAUACAAUGUUCCCUACAUGGGCUAUAUUAAUAAAGGAUUUAGGAAUUAUUUUCCUAAAUGUUUUUGGAUUAUCUGUUUUUACAUUUGUCUUUAUUGCAUGUUAGAUAUUUGAUGCACAUGAUGCAGAAUUAUGUUUGGUUACACUUUACAAUAUGAUUGUAUUUUUUAACAUAACCUAACAUGACUGAAUAAUGAGCAAUAUAGUUUAUUGGCAUUUCUUAAUUAUUGUUAAUGUUAGUUAAGGUCAAUACAAUUGUUAAUGUUAGUUCAUGGUGCAUUAGCUAAUGUUUACAAUUACAACUUUUUUUAUUGUAAAAAUUUAUUAAUUAUUGCAGAAAUCAA